rnacentral:rRNA from 1 species
GACGAACGCUGUCGGCGUGCUUAACACAUGCAAGUCGAACGGAAAGGCCCUGCUUUUGUGGGGUGCUCGAGUGGCGAACGGGUGAGUAACACGUGAGUAACCUGCCCUUGACUUUGGGAUAACUUCAGGAAACUGGGGCUAAUACCGGAUAGGAGCUCCUGCUGCAUGGUGGGGGUUGGAAAGUUUCGGCGGUUGGGGAUGGACUCGCGGCUUAUCAGCUUGUUGGUGGGGUAGUGGCUUACCAAGGCUUUGACGGGUAGCCGGCCUGAGAGGGUGACCGGCCACAUUGGGACUGAGAUACGGCCCAGACUCCUACGGGAGGCAGCAGUGGGGAAUACUGCACAAUGGGCGGAAGCCUGAUGCAGCAACGCCGCGUGCGGGAUGACGGCCUUCGGGUUGUAAACCGCUUUCGCCUGUGACGAAGCGUGAGUGACGGUAAUGGGUAAAGAAGCACCGGCUAACUACGUGCCAGCAGCCGCGGUGAUACGUAGGGUGCGAGCGUUGUCCGGAUUUAUUGGGCGUAAAGGGCUCGUAGGUGGUUGAUCGCGUCGGAAGUGUAAUCUUGGGGCUUAACCCUGAGCGUGCUUUCGAUACGGGUUGACUUGAGGAAGGUAGGGGAGAAUGGAAUUCCUGGUGGAGCGGUGGAAUGCGCAGAUAUCAGGAGGAACACCAGUGGCGAAGGCGGUUCUCUGGGCCUUUCCUGACGCUGAGGAGCGAAAGCGUGGGGAGCGAACAGGCUUAGAUACCCUGGUAGUCCACGCUGUAAACGGUGGGUACUAGGUGUGGGGUCCAUUCCACGGGUUCCGUGCCGUAGCUAACGCUUUAAGUACCCCGCCUGGGGAGUACGGCCGCAAGGCUAAAACUCAAAGGAAUUGACGGGGCCCCGCACAAGCGGCGGAGCAUGCGGAUUAAUUCGAUGCAACGCGUAGAACCUUACCUGGGUUUGACAUGGAUCGGGAGUGCUCAGAGAUGGGUGUGCCUCUUUUGGGGUCGGUUCACAGGUGGUGCAUGGCUGUCGUCAGCUCGUGUCGUGAGAUGUUGGGUUAAGUCCCGCAACGAGCGCAACCCUUGUUCACUGUUGCCAGCACGUUAUGGUGGGGACUCAGUGGAGACCGCCGGGGUCAACUCGGAGGAAGGUGGGGAUGACGUCAAGUCAUCAUGCCCCUUAUGUCCAGGGCUUCACGCAUGCUACAAUGGCUGGUACAGAGAGUGGCGAGCCUGUGAGGGUGAGCGAAUCUCGGAAAGCCGGUCUCAGUUCGGAUUGGGGUCUGCAACUCGACCUCAUGAAGUCGGAGUCGCUAGUAAUCGCAGAUCAGCAACGCUGCGGUGAAUACGUUCCCGGG